rnacentral:rRNA from 1 species
GAUGAACGCUGGCGGCGCGCCUAACACAUGCAAGUCGAACGGCACCCCUCCUCGGAGGGAAGCCAGUGGCGAACGGCUGAGUAACACGUGGAGAACCUGCCCCCUCCCCCGGGAUAGCCGCCCGAAAGGACGGGUAAUACCGGAUACCCCGGGGUGCCGCAUGGCACCCCGGCUAAAGCCCCGACGGGAGGGGAUGGCUCCGCGGCCCAUCAGGUAGACGGCGGGGUGACGGCCCACCGUGCCGACAACGGGUAGCCGGGUUGAGAGACCGACCGGCCAGAUUGGGACUGAGACACGGCCCAGACUCCUACGGGAGGCAGCAGUGGGGAAUCUUGCGCAAUGGGGGGAACCCUGACGCAGCGACGCCGCGUGCGGGACGGAGGCCUUCGGGUCGUAAACCGCUUUCAGCAGGGAAGAGUCAAGACUGUACCUGCAGAAGAAGCCCCGGCUAACUACGUG